AGGACGAACGCUGGCGGCGUGCUUAACACAUGCAAGUCGAACGGUAAGGCCCCUUCGGGGGUACACGAGUGGCGAACGGGUGAGUAACACGUGAGUAACCUACCCUUGACUCUGGGAUAACAUCUGGAAACAGGUGCUAAUACCGGAUAUUCAACCCUUGACUCAUGUUUUGGGUUGGAAAGCUCCGGCGGUCAUGGAUGGACUCGCGGCCUAUCAGCUUGUUGGUGAGGUAAUGGCUCACCAAGGCUUCGACGGGUAGCCGGCCUGAGAGGGCGACCGGCCACAUUGGGACUGAGAUACGGCCCAAACUCCUACGGGAGGCAGCAGUGGGGAAUAUUGCACAAUGGGCGAAAGCCUGAUGCAGCAACGCCGCGUGCGGGAUGACGGCCUUCGGGUUGUAAACCGCUUUCACCCAUGACGAAGCUAACGUGACGGUAGUGGGAGAAGAAGCACCGGCUAACUACGUGCCAGC
rnacentral:rRNA from 1 species